rnacentral:tRNA from 1 species
GGGUUCCAAGCCCCACUGGUUAGGCUCCACGUUUUCAACUAGGAGGUGUUGGGUUCAAGUCCCAGGAACCCC